rnacentral:lncRNA from 1 species
AAUGAUUGAUGAUAUGAUCAUAUAGGUAUGACAUACUUAUUUUGAUCAUACUAUAAAUUAAAAUUGAUGUAUUGAAAUCAGCAUAUAAUAAAAAGAUAGAAAAGAUAUAGUUUAGAUUAGCCUCGUUAUGUGGAUUGUCGGUCAGGAGCUUAUGCUUAAGAUAAUCCAUUAGGAGCUUAUAUUUAAAACAGCCUUUAGGAGCUUAUGUAUAGAAUAGCCAGUC